rnacentral:rRNA from 1 species
CCUACGGGUGGCAGCAGUAGGGAAUUUUCGUCAAUGGGCGCAAGCCUGAACGAGCGAUGCCGCGUGAGUGAAGAAGGCCUUCGGGUCGUAAAGCUCUGUUGCGGGGGAAAAAAGGCAGCAUCAGGAAAUGGGUGCUGACUGAUGGUGCCCCGCCAGAAAGUCACGGCUAACUACGUGCCAGCAGCCGCGGUAAUACGUAGGUGGCUAGCGUUAUUCGGAGUGAUUGGGUGGAUAGGUUGCGCAGGCGGUCCUGUAAGUCUGGAGUGAAACGCAUGAGCUCAAGUCAUGCAUGGCUUGGGAUACUGGAGGACUAGAGAGCAGGAGAGGGAGGUGGAAGUCAAUGUGUAGCGGUGAAAUGCGGAGAGAUCUGAAAGAACACCAGUGGCGAAGGCGGCCGACUGGUCUGUAGCUGACGCUGAGGCACGAAAGCGUGGGGAGCAAAUAGGAUUAGAUACCCGAGUAGUC